rnacentral:tRNA from 1 species
UACCAGAUGACUGAAAGAAAGUGUAGAUCUUUUAAAUCUAACAUAGUAAUUAACGACCACUUCUGGUUA